AGUGAACGCUGGCGGUAGGCCUAACACAUGCAAGUCGAACGGCAGCACAGUAAGAGCUUGCUCUUACGGGUGGCGAGUGGCGGACGAGUGAGGAAUACAUCGGAAUCUACUUUUUCGUGGGGGAUAACGUAGGGAAACUUACGCUAAUACCGCAUACGACCUACGGGUGAAAGCAGGGGAUCUUCGGACCUUGCGCGAUUGAAUGAGCCGAUGUCGGAUUAGCUAGUUGGCGGGGUAAAGGCCCACCAAGGCGACGAUCCGUAGCUGGUCUGAGAGGAUGAUCAGGCACACUGGAACUGAGACACGGUCCAGACUCCUACGGGAGGCAGCAGUGGGGAAUAUUGGACAAUGGGCGCAAGCCUGAUCCAGCCAUACCGCGUGGGUGAAGAAGGCCUUCGGGUUGUAAAGCCCUUUUGUUGGGAAAGAAAAGCAGCAGGUUAAUACCCCGCUGUUCUGACGGUACCCAAAGAAUAAGCACCGGCUAACUUCGUG
rnacentral:rRNA from 1 species